rnacentral:rRNA from 1 species
GAUGAACGCUGGCGGCGUGCCUAAUACAUGCAAGUCGAGCGAACGGACGAGAAGCUUGCUUCUCUGAUGUUAGCGGCGGACGGGUGAGUAACACGUGGAUAACCUACCUAUAAGACUGGGAUAACUUCGGGAAACCGUAGCUAAUACCGGAUAAUAUUUUGAACCGCAUGGUUCAAAAGUGAAAGACGGUCUUGCUGUCACUUAUAGAUGGAUCCGCGCUGCAUUAGCUAGUUGGUAAGGUAACGGCUUACCAAGGCAACGAUGCAUAGCCGACCUGAGAGGGUGAUCGGCCACACUGGAACUGAGACACGGUCCAGACUCCUACGGGAGGCAGCAGUAGGGAAUCUUCCGCAAUGGGCGAAAGCCUGACGGAGCAACGCCGCGUGAGUGAUGAAGGUCUUCGGAUCGUAAAACUCUGUUAUUAGGGAAGAACAUAUGUGUAAGUAAAUGUGCACAUCUUGACGGUACCUAAUCAGAAAGCCCCGGCUAACUACGUG